rnacentral:rRNA from 1 species
UACGUAGGGGGCAAGCGUUGUCCGGAUUUAUUGGGCGUAAAGAGCGUGUAGGCGGCUUUACAGGUCCGUUGUGAAAACUCGAGGCUCAACCUCGAGACGCCGGUGGAAACCGUAAAGCUAGAGUCCGGAAGAGGAGAGUGGAAUUCCUGGUGUAGCGGUGAAAUGCGCAGAUAUCAGGAGGAACACCGGUGGCGAAGGCGGAUCUCUGGGCCUUACCUGACGCUGAGGCGCGAAAGCUAGGGGAGCGAACAGG